rnacentral:rRNA from 1 species
UAAUUUGAGAGUUUGAUCCUGGCUCAGGACGAACGCUGGCGGCGUGCCUAAUACAUGCAAGUCGAACGAACUCUGGUAUUGAUUGGUGCUUGCAUCAUGAUUUACAUUUGAGUGAGUGGCGAACUGGUGAGUAACACGUGGGAAACCUGCCCAGAAGCGGGGGAUAACACCUGGAAACAGAUGCUAAUACCGCAUAACAACUUGGACCGCAUGGUCCGAGUUUGAAAGAUGGCUUCGGCUAUCACUUUUGGAUGGUCCCGCGGCGUAUUAGCUAGAUGGUGAGGUAACGGCUCACCAUGGCAAUGAUACGUAGCCGACCUGAGAGGGUAAUCGGCCACAUUGGGACUGAGACACGGCCCAAACUCCUACGGGAGGCAGCAGUAGGGAAUCUUCCACAAUGGACGAAAGUCUGAUGGAGCAACGCCGCGUGAGUGAAGAAGGGUUUCGGCUCGUAAAACUCUGUUGUUAAAGAAGAACAUAUCUGAGAGUAACUGUUCAGGUAUUGACGGUAUUUAACCAGAAAGCCACGGCUAACUACGUGCCAGCAGCCGCGGUAAUACGUAGGUGGCAAGCGUUGUCCGGAUUUAUUGGGCGUAAAGCGAGCGCAGGCGGUUUUUUAAGUCUGAUGUGAAAGCCUUCGGCUCAACCGAAGAAGUGCAUCGGAAACUGGGAAACUUGAGUGCAGAAGAGGACAGUGGAACUCCAUGUGUAGCGGUGAAAUGCGUAGAUAUAUGGAAGAACACCAGUGGCGAAGGCGGCUGUCUGGUCUGUAACUGACGCUGAGGCUCGAAAGUAUGGGUAGCAAACAGGAUUAGAUACCCUGGUAGUCCAUACCGUAAACGAUGAAUGCUAAGUGUUGGAGGGUUUCCGCCCUUCAGUGCUGCAGCUAACGCAUUAAGCAUUCCGCCUGGGGAGUACGGCCGCAAGGCUGAAACUCAAAGGAAUUGACGGGGGCCCGCACAAGCGGUGGAGCAUGUGGUUUAAUUCGAAGCUACGCGAAGAACCUUACCAGGUCUUGACAUACUAUGCAAAUCUAAGAGAUUAGACGUUCCCUUCGGGGACAUGGAUACAGGUGGUGCAUGGUUGUCGUCAGCUCGUGUCGUGAGAUGUUGGGUUAAGUCCCACAACGAGCGCAACCCUUAUUAUCAGUUGCCAGCAUUAAGUUGGGCACUCUGGUGAGACUGCCGGUGACAAACCGGAGGAAGGUGGGGAUGACGUCAAAUCAUCAUGCCCCUUAUGACCUGGGCUACACACGUGCUACAAUGGAUGGUACAACGAGUUGCGAACUCGCGAGAGUAAGCUAAUCUCUUAAAGCCAUUCUCAGUUCGGAUUGUAGGCUGCAACUCGCCUACAUGAAGUCGGAAUCGCUAGUAAUCGCGGAUCAGCAUGCCGCGGUGAAUACGUUCCCGGGCCUUGUACACACCGCCCGUCACACCAUGAGAGUUUGUAACACCCAAAGUCGGUGGGGUAACCUUUUAGGAACCAGCCGCCUAAGGUGGGACAGAUGAUUAGGGUGAAGUCGUAACAAGGUAGCCGUAGGAGAACCUGCGGCUGGAUCACCUCCUUU